AAACCAACCGGGAUUGCCUCAGUAACGGCGAGUGAAGCGGCAAAAGCUCAAAUUUGAAAUCUGGCACUUUCAGUGUCCGAGUUGUAAUUUGUAGAAGUAGUUUUGGGACUGGUCCUUAUCUAUGUUUCUUGGAACAGGACGUCAUAGAGGGUGAGAACCCCGUAUGAUGAGGCCCCCAGUCCUUUGUAAAACGCUUUCGAAGAGUCGAGUUGUUUGGGAAUGCAGCUCUAAGUGGGUGGUAAAUUCCAUCUAAAGCUAAAUAUUGGCGAGAGACCGAUAGCGAACAAGUACAGUGAUGGAAAGAUGAAAAGAACUUUGAAAAGAGAGUGAAAAAGUACGUGAAAUUGUUGAAAGGGAAGGGCAUUUGAUCAGACAUGGUGUUUUUGCAUGCACUCGCCUCUCGUGGGCUUGGGCCUCUCAAAAAAUUUCACUGGGCCAACAUCAAUUCUGGCAGCAGGAUAAAUCAUUAAGAAUGUAGCUACUUCGGUAGUGUUAUAGCUUUUUGGAAUACUGUUAC
rnacentral:rRNA from 1 species